GGGGCUGUGGUGUGGCCUUCGCACACUGCAAGUCCUGGAGGUCAGCAGAGGCAGGACGUCCAGACAGUGGAUGCCUGAGUGGAGACGCCUUCAGCCGCCCUGACUCCACCUAGGAGGUGCCCCAAGGCAGAACCAGCAGCUGAGCCUGGCCAGCCCCGGCAGCCAUGAGAGACAGAUGCUCCAUCAGUUGCUGCCACCACUUGCUGGAGACGCUGCAUGACCCUGACUCCUCUCAAAGGGUGAAAGGCUCAAUGGCACCCCAGACGCCCCCUCAGGCAGAGGAUAAACUCCCCGUCCCACCACCUUCCUGGCCUCCGUGAGAGUGGCGUGCGGGCUGACCCUGGAGGAAGAGGGACAUUCGAACGGGGUGGGCGGCCUUCUACUGCUAGGCUGGGCUCUGGGGUGGGUGGGGACUGGCCGCCACAGGCCAUCAGCCUUCAGGGUUCUGGAAGCAGGGAGGGCAGAGGCUGGCCCAGCCUAUGGGAGACCCCGCAGAGGCGUGGCCUCCGGGCUAAUCCUGCCCCAACUCUCCCAGGGCGGGAUUUCUUUUCUUUUUUCCUUUAAUCUCUUUAUCUACAGGCUCCAAGGCUUAAUGAGCUCCAGAUAUCUCAGCAUGCCAGGAGAGGCUUGGGAUCCCCUGCCAAAUACCAGGGAGAUAAGAACGCACCAGAUGGGCACAAACCAGAGCUGGUGACCCCAGUUCCCUUUAAGUCAGUGACGUGUCAUUACAAGGCGGAAGUCCCCGCCCGGGAGAACAGUCCCCAGGGCUUGCUAAGCAUGCGUGGUAUCAAGAGGCGCACGGGGGUGCUCCUGCAGCCUCCUCCCCGCAUGGGACUCCUCACAACCCCCGGCCUCAGCCUCCCCCACAGGGCAGGGGCUCACUCUCACCCACUCUGGGCCAGGAACGCAGCCUUUCGUCCAAUUGGGUGCUCUUUCUUUGCGACUGAUACAAAGUGGGGACAAACGCCGCUUCCAGUGAUGCCCGGGCCCCAGGAGGCUGGGGGAGAAGCGCCCGCUGCCCGGCCUUCAACCUGAGCUGCCUCCAACACUUCCCAGCCUAGACCCCUGCAGCUAAAACACACCCCUGGGUGGAGAUUUAAGAUGCUAAUGAGACACGCAACUGAUGAACAAGCAGGUGCAGGUACUGCGCAUGUGCACCCAGAGGACCCCCUCCCCCCCAACAUGUUUCCUAGCAACGCCUCUGCCCACCCGCGGUGAGUAAUCGUGGAAGACUCCCACGGAGGAGCCUCCCUGGUGCCAGUCUCUGCUGUCUCGCCCUUACGAGCAGACGGCCCUGAAUCCUCUCUCUCAGGGCGUCCUGUCUCUUCUGUGUCGCACUUUCAAAAUAUUCUUUCUCCUUUGCAAUACGUUGCUCUGUGCUGCUUCUCCUUGGCUGCGUGUCUCUUGUUUAAAUUCUUUUAAACGAAGAAGACAAGAAUGGAGGCCUCCCAGCAGCCGUCACCGUUUCUGGUGCCGUGACUUGGAUGGAGGAAUCAGGGACAAUGGUCCUGAGUACCCUAUAAGCAAGCGUGUGUGGCCUUACAACAGAACCCAGCUCUACCUACGCAGCAGCUGCAGGCUAAACUCCAGUAAGCCAGAAAGCCCCCCAGACCCAUGCGAAGACCCUCUUUAAUUAAAGGGAAAGGUCCCCAGGCCCCAUGGCCCAACUCCAAGUCCAGAUAGGGGUUCUCAGGGCUCCUUACCUCCUUCUGACUCCCCAGCAUCCCCUGCACUAUCAGAGUCUCCUGUGGAAUCUAAUCCCAUUUCACCCCCUCCUUAUACUUCUCCUUUGCAGGUACAAUAGGGACUUGCCCCGCUGGAGGUACUCGCACUGGGACAUCACACCAUCCAGGGCCAGAGAAACUGCUCCCCUUAUGGGAGGUCCCAAAUGGAGAGGGGACCAUUAUGGCACACGUCCCAUAAAUGAUCUAAUUUAUGGACUCACAUCAAUAAAUGAUUGAAUCCAAUGGAAGCAAAAAAACAAAAACUCACCUUCUGUAGUAGAGAAAUGGAGAGUAGCCCUAGGAGUCCCCCCAAAACUGGGAGAAACACCAUGUCUGGUUGUGGGAGGAACACCUCGUUCAGUUGUGGGAGAAACGCCUCAUCUGGUUGGCUCCUUUCCGAAGCAACUGGACUCUGCGCCCUGAAGGUGGCCUGGCUGCCUUAGAGCAGUCACAGCCAUUGCCAUUCCAGUAGAAGAAGCCCAAAACCUGACUUUUUUUUUUUUUUUUUUUUUUUGAGACGG